GGAGCUGCCACUGCAGAGACGCUGGCUUAGGGGGCUGGGGGAUGCCUCCUUUGAAUUCUGGGCCCACCACUGACAACACUUCUCUUCUUGGAGAAAAGAUGACGAGAAGGAGAGGUCUUAGAACACAUCCUUAUCUGAAGGACAGGAUACAGUCUUGUUUUAGGAAACUCCAGCUGCUCUGUGUCAUUGAAAGGGAAGAGGAGAGACCAGAUGGUCCAAGUUCGCCAUGGCACUGGUAAGGACCUGAGACUGACUGCAGGCCCUUCAUGAAAGCAAAGCCUGGGUGUGUUAUAACCGCCAGUCCCACUCUCCCACAGUGAGGUCCAUCCCGGCAGGGGCUGAGUCCACCUUGACCACUGAGACAAACAGACCUGGUGAUGGACUCAGUGUUUUUAAAUUGUGGAGCUUGGACAGGGAGGGGCGAGAUGGAGAACGAGGUAUACACAAAAGAGAACAAUGUGAUGAGGGCAUGAAGUGUGCUUACCAACCUUCCCUCACUCAGAGGCUGGAAGAGAUUUUAGAGCUUAACAGAAAAAGAGUGGGAAGAGGACACUGCUGGGCAAAAGACAUGAACUAAAGACUUCUCGGCUGUCCCCAUCAGUGGCACGGUGGUCUCAGCAGUACCGAUGUGGAUACUCAAGAACGUGAGGCUACCGUGGAAAUGCUUUGCUUAAACCACACGUUGAGUUUCCAAGGAGUGAAGAUCCCCAGGGAAAGCAUCUAGGACCCUGCCAUGUUGGCCCAGCUCUGGGAAGUCAAUCGACGUGGACCCCUUACUGUGUUAACUGCUAAUCAGCCUUCUGUAAAAAUGAUAUUGCAAAUUCA
rnacentral:lncRNA from 10 species